UAAACUGUGAUCCCCGUGCGGGGUAGAGACACUGUCCAACGCGAUUACCUUCUGUCUACCCCAGCGUUUGGCUGGAUUAUUUAGUUGUUUUACUUCCAUUCCUGUUAUUACAUCUGUAACAGGGGGCUUAAAACGGGGCCCCACGUGGGACAGGAUCUCUGUCCAACUUAACUUGGAUAUACCCAGCGCUCAGUACUGUUCCCCACACAUAGUAAACGCUUAACUAAUGCCCUUAAAUCCCUGGGACUUCUCCGUGUUUUAUGGCAUUCAUUAAGCGCUUAUUACGUGGUAGGCACUGUACAGACCAAUCAGGUCGGACUCGGUGGAAACAGAACGGGCACUGAAUCCCCCUUUUGCGGUCGAGGAAACUGAGGCACAGAGGAGUCAUUUCUCUCUCCCGAGUGGCAGCCCCCGAUGCGAUUCGUAACCUGUGCCAACCCACCUAGCACCCGCGCGUUAUUUGCCUUUUGUGUUGCCCGUUCACUUUUGGCUGCUAGUGAAUGUGGUGUCAAAAAAGGCGCAAAUCAAAUCCGUGGCAGCCCUAUUUUCACUGGAUUCUAUUCCUGUGGUGUACUUGCUGCACAGGAACAUGGCAUGGCAGGUGUGGGGCGCUGGACACAAAGCUGCCCCACGUGGCUAUGGUUAGAUUUGAUUAGCAAAAUAAGGCUUACUCAUUUAUCUUUCUAGUUAUGGAAGAUGGACAGAAUGGUGAAGGCGUACUUAAGGAUCUGAUCAACUCCUGUGAAGAGAUCUGCAAGAACUUAUAGCCACAUUGGAAUCUCUUUCAGUUGUUCUUCCGAGAGGCCCGAUGGAUCCACAAGUUCCUUCCUAGAAAGGAAUGGACAAGGCCUGGGUAUUGGUGAUGACAUGGGCCAGGAAAUAAGCCAAUUGCUCCUGCUGAGAAUUCCAACUUGGUUUCUCCCCACCACUGGCUCAGUGUGGAGUUACAUAUGUGACAUGUUGGCCAUAUUAAAACAGAAAACAAGAUUCAACUUCACAGAUUUCACCUAAAGCACCAUUGUUGAGCGCUUCAUCGGAAGCCCGGAUAAAGUGGUGAUGCCAAAUGAUUACUGAAGUGUCCAAGCUGGGGGAGGAUACCAGAUACUUCAUUCCCAUCAGUCAAUGGUUUGCUGUGAAGAUAAAAUGAGAUCACGGUCGGGAAAAUGCUUUGGAAAAAUAAAACCACUAAAUACUAAAACCUCCGUACAGUACUGUUACUAUUUUUCAGUUCCUCGAAAGAGAUGCGCUAUAAGGCAGUCCAAAGAGAUACCCUCCUGGAAAACAGCACCCACCGGAAAGCAGGCCUUUCUCCCGAUGGUUGGAACCCGAAGAACAGCACCUGUGUGUGGCUGUUAUGCAAUGAGGAUCCUGGGUGGGGCUCUCAGUAUUCAAUAGAGAACCACACAGUUUUAGACAUUGCGACCUGGAAUGCGAGCCUCACAUUUCAACAGUGCUUUCUCCGGAAAGGGAUUCCUCCCACUCAACUCCCUUAACUCAUUGUGGGGGCUUAAUAAGCGUCACAGGAAUAACAAUAAUCAAGAUCUUGUUUUUUGUUGUUUAGAGAGAAAGAAUGGGCACAUGAUUCCCAGUGGCUGUUUUUCCACACACUGUUUAUAGGAAUACAAGAGUACAAGUAAAGGAGAGGAGGGCGGGGACCAUAUAAAACACGAUACAUUUGUAGCUAAUAAAAUAACCUGGAUAUGCAUAAUUCAGAA